UUUGUUAUUUUCUUUAGGAUUAUUGUGUCAAUAUUCAAAAGUCAAAUUCAUGUGUGUUAUACGUUUGCAUGUAAUAUAUUUCAAUAUUGUGCUUUCUUCAUACAUACAUUUUGGUAGAUUUUCUUCUUUCUCGUGGAAAAUCUGAUGGCUAAAGUUUUCUGGGCAUGGGCUGUGUGUGUGUGUGUGUGUGUGUGUGUGUGUUUUAGAGGGGGCAAAGGGUUUUUGUUUCUUUCUGAUGGAGAGAUAUUUAUUUAUUUAGAGAUGGAGUCUCACUCUGUUGCCCAGGCUGGAGUCCAGUGGUGCAAUCUUGGCUCACUGCAACCUCCACCUCCCAAGUUCAAGCAAUUCUCCUGCCUCAGCCUCCCGAGUAGCUGGGAUUACAGGCAUAUACAAGCACGCCCAGCUAAUUUUUGUAUUUUUAGUAGAGAUGGGGUUUCACCAUGUUGGCCAGGCUGGCUCAAACUCCUGACUUCAAGUGAUCUGCCUUCCUCGGCCUCCCAAAGUGCUGGGAUGACAGGCAUGAGUCACUGUACCCGGCUGGGAAAUGAAUUUUUUUAAAAAAAACUUUCUGUAUUUCUACUUCUUCAUUGGAAAGUCAUUCGUAUUUACUUAAGUUUUCAAAUAUCACAGUGCAGAUUAGAACAAAGUAGUUGUUUAUAAUUCUUCCGCAUCCUCCAAGUGUAUGGAGAAGCUCGCAUUCUUCUUGUUUCGUGCUGUCAUUAUUUUAGUGUGUUAUCUUCGUCUACUUUAGUUUUCUCAGAUAAUGUUUAAAUUACUUGGCAAAUCAUUUCUCAAUUUUCAAUGCAUUAAUUUCCUCCACCUGCUUUUCUGGAGUUUCAUGUGAUACCCACUCUCCCCACACAGGAUGACUUCUUGAGUUGAAUGUUCAUUCCAUUUAUUUUCAUUCUUUCUUGCUUAAUGUUGUAAACAGGCGAGGUUCUAACUUUUCAUCUGUGUACUACAAGCUCUCAAGUUCUUUCAUGGGGAGUUUGUAUCAUGGUCAUUUUCUAGUAUUUAGCAUUUUCAGCUUUUGUUUCCUGUCAACUCAACAUGAAAAGUUUUUUAAAACGUCCGGGUGAUAUUGUUGCUUUGUUUGCUUUCCUGGUUUCAUUAUCCAUUUUCAAUUUUGCUGCUGUGAAUUUGCACCGUCUCCUUGGGGGGUGAUUUGGCUGUAUAUUAGUCAGCGUUCUCUAGAGGGACAUAACUAAUGGAAUAUAUAUAUACACACAAAGGGGAGUUUAUUAAGUAUUAACUCACACGAUCACAAGGUCCCCCAAUAGGCCAUCUGCAGGCUGAGGAGCAAGGAGAGCCAGUCCCAGUCCCAAAACUGAAGAACUUGGAGUCCAAUGUUUGAGGGCAGGAAGCAUCCAGCCCGGGACAGAGAUGUAGGCUGGGAGGCUAGGCCAGGGUCUCUUCUUGCAUUUUUUUGCCUGCUUUAUAUUCUAGCCUUGAUGGCAGCUGAUUAGAUUAUGCCCACCCAGAUUAAGGGCGGGGGGCCUGCCUUUCCCAGCCCACUGACUCAAAUGGUAAUCUCCUUUGGCAACACCCUCACAGACACACCCAGGAUCAAUACUUUGUGUCAAUCAAUCCAAUCAGGUUAACAGUCAGUAUGAACCAUCACAGGCAGUGUCUACAAGCAGUGAAACGUGCACACACCUUUCUACCUAAUUCCUGCCCAUUCCUGACCAACGCUCCUAAGAAAGGAAUAGAUUGAUUUUUUUCUUGAUUUUAUAUCUUAAAAACCUGUUGUAUCCAUGUCUGUAUGUGUGCCAGGGUGAAUCACAAAGUCAGGAAGUUCGUGUGACACAGAAUAAGAAUAUCUUUAUUCUUUUAUUUUUUAUUACUUUUUAUUUUGUUUUUGAGACAGAGUCUUACUCUGUCCCCCAGGCUGGAGUGCAGUGGCCUGAUCUAUGCUCACUACAACCUCCACCUUUCCGGUUCAAGUGAUUCUCCUGCCUCAGCCUCCCAAGUAGCUGGGAUUACAGGCACAUGCCACCACACCCGGCUAAUUUUUGUAUUUGUAGUAGAAAUGUGGUUUCACCAUGUUGGCCAGGCUGGUCUCAAACUCCUGACCUCAGGUGAUCCAUCCGCCUCGGCCUCCUAAAGUGCUGGGAUCGCAGGUGUCAGCCAUCAUGUGUGGCCUAGAAUAUUCUUAUUUCCAAUUUUACAGCAACAGAAUGUCUUCUGUCUUGUUUCUACUUUAAAAAAAAAACAGUUUGCUAAAGCUUUCUUUGUAGUGCAAUUGUGAAUUUUCAGGAGCAUCCCAUGAACAUUGAAAAGGAGAUGCAUUCACGCUUUUUAAGGUUAUCGAGGAUGUGAAAAUUAAAGUCGGCUUUGUAAAUUCUGCUGUGUCUCUGAGCUCCCAGCAUUUGAUCAGCUGAGGCUUCGAGCGGUGAAGUAGAGUGCUUUUCCCCUAACGUGCUCUGAUCUGGAGCCUGCGUGUAUUACCGCUGGGCACACGGCCUGCCCUGACCAUACUUUAGUGAAGCAGAGGUGAUAAAACUGUGUUUCACAGGACUCCUGCAACACACAGCUUUGAUGUCGGCUAACUAGAACCCGGGAGCCAAAUCUGCCCACAGUGUGUUUUUGUACAGCUUUCGAGUUAAUCUAUUUACCAGAGGACUUCAAAGCUGUUUGCCAAUGGUAACUUUUUAAGUGCUUGCCUACUGCUUCAUGGUAGGUAGAGUGUAAGGGUUAACCCACGAGUUGUAUAUGGAUAAAUUAGACACAGUCACAGAUCUGCAGGGAAGAAUAUAAUUAAAACCAUUGUGAAAGCAGGAGUCAUCAUCGAACUCAGCUAUCCAGUCAUGUUUCUUCUCCAAGGAGAUUUCAAACAGAAGAUGUAAAUUUUGGUAGUUACAUAAAAUGUCUCAGAUUUAAAUGAAAGACACAAAAAGCCACAUGUCAUCUCGUUUUCCUGAAGAACCGUCUCUGCUGAAAUAUUAGUUCUGCCACCUACAGAGACAACUGAAGGCUGAGGAUAAAAAAUGCCGCUUGGAAGUCACCGAGUUUGUUAGGUAUAAAAGCCAAGACUUCAACUGAGGUCUUUGCACUGAUGUGUACAUUAACCCCACACCGGGUAUCACUGUACAAUCACGUCCUGCAGGAGGAAGAUUACAGGCGGCCAGUGUCUUCUCUGGUUUCUGGGUUGGUGACUUUGAACUUGCUACAGCUCCCACACCCACAGCGAGCAGAGUUGCCAAGCAAGUGUGCCGGCUUCCAGAAGCCUGAGAUGCCCAUUGGUGCUUGGGAACCACCCCAGUUUCCCCAUCCUCUGCGCUGCUGCAGAUUGGUUGGGGCAGCCCGGAGAGGCUGGCUCCGACACACGACUGAGUGUGCCUACACUGGUCCCACAGGUUUUCAGCUGUGGAGUUUGGGAUCUGAGCUUGGAGCCCAUUUGUUUCUGGCAGUUCGGCUCAUAUUUUCCACUUGAAGACAUCGCCUCCCUUCCUUCCAAGCUGGGAGACCAGAAGUCAACAACAGGAGGGUGGAGAGGCCGAGUCUCACAAUCCGCUUGGCUGGGGAGUCCACUGAGGUUCUUGCAUCCUGAAGCAAACCAUGGAGAGCUGGUGGGGACUUCCCUGUCUUGCUUUCCUGUGUUUUCUAAUGCACGCCCGAGGUCAGAGAGACUUUGAUUUGGCAGACGCCCUUGAUGACCCUGAACCCACCAAGAAGCCAAACUCAGGUGAGUGUCUCUUUGGCUGGGAAAAACUGAGGCAACGUCCUUGAACUGAUGCUUACGGAGGGGAUGGUUGAGGAUGUUUUACAGAACUGUGGGGUAUAUGAAAGAGAUGCAACAACUGUACCAGAUAGCAGAUAUUGAAAGCGAAAUGUGGUGAUUAGGGAAAUGCAAAUCACAACCACAGUGAAGCACCACUUCGUACCCACUGAGAUGGCUAAAAUCUAAAAUGGAAAAUAACAAGUGUUGGCAAGGAUGUGAUGAAACUGGAAUGUUUGUACAGUGCUGGUGGGAGUCUAAAAUGGUACAGCCACUGUGAACAAAUGCUUUGGUGGAUCCUCAAAAAGUUAAAUACAGGAUUACUCUAUGAACCAGCAAUUCCACUCCUAGGUAUGUACUCAAAAUAAUUGAAAACACGGGUUCCAAGAAAAAUGUGUACACAAAUGUUCAGAGCAGCACUAUUCAUUAUAGCUAAAAGGUAGAAAUAACUCACAUGUUAAUCAGUGGAAGGAGUGGAUAAACAAAAUGUGGUCCAUUCACACAAUGGAAUAUUAUUUAGCCUUGAAGAGGAAUGAAGCACUGAAAAUUGCUACAAAGUGGUUGAGCCUCAAAAACAUUUUGCAAAGAGAAAGAAGCCAGACACAAAUGAUCACAUAGUGUAUAUUUUUAUGAAGAUGAAAUUUCAAGAAUAGGUGAAUCCCUAGAACCAGAAGCAAUGUCGUGACUGCCAGGGGCUGGAGGGGAAAGAGAGAGUGACUGCUUGAUAAAUUCCAGGUUUCUUUUUGGGGGAACGAAAGCAUUCUGGAAGUACACAGAGGUGAUGGCUGCACAACACUGUGAAUAUUCUAAAUGCCCCUGAAUUAUUCACUUUUAAAUGGUUAAUUAUAUGUAAAUUUGACUUCAAUUUAUUUAUUUAUUUACAAUUAAAAAGGUAACCUUUGGCUGGGGGCGGUGGCUCACACCUGUAAUCCCAGCGCUUUGAAAGGCCGAGGUGGGCAGAUCAUCUGAGGUCAGGGGUUCGAGACCAACCUGGCCAACAUGGUGAAACCCGGUCUCUACUAAAUAUAAAAAAAUUAGCUGGGCAUGAUGGCACAUGUCUGUAAUCCCAGCUACUUGGGAGGCUGAGGCAGGAGAAUCACUUGAACCCGGGAGGUGGAGGUUGCAGUGAGCCGAGAUCAUGCCACUGCACUCCAACCUGGGUGACAGAGUGAGAUUCCGUCUCAAAAAAAAAAAAAAAAAAAGAAAAGAAAAGAAAAAGAAAGAAUUCCCGGGGCCGGGUGCAGUGGCUCACGCCUGUAAUCCCAGCACUUUGGGAGGCCAAGGCGGGUGGAUCACAAGGUCAGGAGAUCGAGACCAUCCUGGCUAACACGGUAUGUUGUACCUGAGCGAGUUAGAAAAACGCCACACUUUGAGACGAAUUAAGAGUCCUUUAUUAGCCAGCGACCGAGAGACGGCUAAUGCUUAAUAUUCUCUCGGCCCCGAGGAAGGGGCUUGAUUAACUUUUAUAUCUUGGUUUAGGAAUGGGGGGGGGGUCUAGUGAAAACAAUUUUACAAAAGUAAAGUAGGCAAAAAGUUAAAAGGAUAAAUGGUUGCAGGAAAGUAAACAGUUCCAGGUGCAGGGGCUUUAAGACUAUUACAAGGUGAUAGACUCGGGGCUUUGGGCGUCACUAAUCAGACGAAUUCCCGGGAACUGUGGAUAUAGCUCGCCACAGUAUCUUAUCAGUUAAUUGCAUUCUUGCAUGUGCUGGGAGUCAGCUUGCACGAGUUCAGUCCUUGAGGAAGGGGCUGCCAGUGAAAGAGCCAAGAUGCAGUCUGUCUGCUUCUCUUAGCUAAGGGAGAGUCCAUUCAGGUGGAAACCAGGCUAGGUGAGUAAAGGAAAAGGGAGAGUCUAAAAACAGGUUAGUAAAAACGAGGUUGGGCAUUACAGGUGAAACCCCGUCUCUACUAAAAAAUAGAAAAAAAAUUAGCCGGGCAUGGUGGUGGGCGCCUGUAGUCUCAGCUACUUGGGAGGCUGAGGCAGGAGAAUGGCAUGAACCCGGGAGGCAGAGCUUGCAGUGAGCCGAGAUCUCCCACUGCACUCCAGCCUGGGCGACAGAGCGAGACUCUGUCUCAACAACAACAACAACAACAACAACAACAAAAAGAGAAAUAACUCCCAGACUUCCAGCAGACUCCUUGACUGCCAUGAGAGAUGUCAGGAAGUCAAUGGACGGGUGUUUAUAGGUUGUUCAAGAAAUGUUCACUAUCAAGCAAGAAUUGAAAAUGCAACUAAAUUGCUGUUGGAGAGUGAUGAUAGCAGAAAGAUUUCCAACAAGGAGCUCUGCAAUUUUUGCUGAAAAAUCUUCCAAAUGAUGCUCUGCCAUAAGAAGAAAUUCACACCCUGAAUAGCACAGCAGGAUGCGAAUAGCAAUGCCAGCCAAAGACAUUGAAAACAAGCCGGUAAAACUAAGUGAUUGUUAGCUGUUUAAAAAAAUAAUAAUAACUGGUGUUAACAACAAAGUGAAACUUAACUUCUGAAGAUUAGGCUACCUUCACAGAGAGGAUAAGGAAGGAAGAACUGAGUAAAAGUAGUUAGAUAUUGCUGGAUUUUGACAUUUGAAGGUUAAGUGUUCCUGCUAAAAAUAGAAAUUGAACAUAUAACUCCUGAACUAGUGGAUGAAAAUGAAGAAUGAAGAAUAAAAUUAAAUACAAAAAAAUGAAGAGUAAAAUUAAAUACCAAAAUUAGCCAAGUGUUGUGGUGAAUGCCUGUAGUCCCAGCUACUCAGGAGGCUGAGGUGGGAGGAUCACUUGAGCCCCAGAGGUGGAGGUUGCAGUGAGCUGAGAUUGCGCCACUGCACUUCCGCCUGGGUGGCAGAGCCAGGCUUUGUCUCAAAAAUAAAAAAUAAUAAUAAAUUAAAAACCUGAAUACUAAAUGGAAGUUAAGAAGGAAGGAAUUAAAAAAGAAGAAAAGUAAAAUAAAAGAGUAGGAAUAGUGAAUCCUUAGUUAUGUUAGAUGUUCAGUGAUUUAAUAAAUCUGUAAAAAGCCGGAGACUAGAUGAUGCGAUUUAAAAUGUUUGGGCUGGGCGCGGUGGCUCACGCCUGUAAUCCCAGCACUGUGGGAGGCCGAGGCGGGUGGAUCACGAGGUCAGGAGAUCGAGACCAUCCUGGCUAACACGGUGAAACCCCAUCUCUACUAAAAAUACAAAUAAAAUGUUUCAUGCUAUUUAUGAGAGAAGCAUUUGCAACAAAAUGCCAAAGAGAAGGUGAAAAUAGCUGGAAAAAAAUGCGCAAAGCAAAUCACCAAUAGAAGAAAGCCAAGUUGGGCUAGCAAAAUCAGACAAAAUAACCUUCGAGGUGCAAACAACUUUGAGGCCCAAAUAGAGAUUCUUCCCACUAAAAGAAUGAUUCGCUGAAUGAUAAUGGAAUCUUGACCCAGCCUGCACCUCAGGUUAAGUUAAAAGUGGAAAUUUAAAGAUCUAAGUGUGAGAUUUUAAAAAGCAUUUCCCCCGAAAUACCAGGAUCUGUAGAUGGAAAUGUUAUUAAGAAUAAAGAUGUGGAGCUGAGCGUGGUGGCUCACGCCUGUAAUCCCAGAACUUUGGGAGGCCGAGACUGGCUGAUUUCUUGAGCCCAGGAGUUUGAGACUAGCCUGGGCAACAUAGUGAGACCCCAUCUUUACAAAAAAUUUUUUAAAAAUUAGCUGGACAUGGUGGCAUGCACCUCUGGUCCCAGUUACUCAGGAGGCUGAGGUGGGAGGAUCACCUGUGCCCUAGAGGUUGAGGCUGCAGUGAGGCAUGAUCACGCCACUGCACGCCAGCCUGCGUGACAGAGCAAGACCCUGUCUCAAAAGAAAAGAAAAGAAAAGAAAAAAGAAGAAAGAAAUGAAAACCGUAGCUCAGAGACAGAGAAACUGAGCAAUGCGUAGGUUCAGAAGGGUUUGAAACAGACUGAAUUGUGUCUUGGCAUAUGAGAGAGGUCGCAGCUAUAAAACAAUGAGAGAAGAAACCAAAUUCCACAUAGGCAGGAGUGAGACAAUUGGCUGUUCUUGUGGAUGAUACGUGAUCAAAUCUCAACCUCAUGCAAUACUUUUUUUUUUUUUUGAGACGGAGUCUCGCUCUGUCACCCAGGCUGCAGUGCAGUGGUGUGAUCUCACCUCCCCGCAAACUUCUCCUCCCGGGUUCAAGUAAUUCUCGUGCCUCAGCUGGGACUACAGGCAUGUGCCACCACGCCUGGCUAAUUUUUGCAUUUUUUUAGUAGAGACGGGGUUUCACCAAGUUGGCCAGGCUGGUCUCGAACUCCUGACCUCAGGUGAUCUGUCCACCUCGGUGUCCCAAAGUGCUGGGAUUACAGGUGUGUACCACCACACCCGGCCUCAUGUAAUACUUAAAAAUGAACUACAGGUGGAUUACAAACCUGAAUAUAAAAGAAAACUUUUUUUUUUUUUGAAAAAUAGAGGGAAAUGUCUUAUAACCUCAGAGUUAGGAGGUUUUUCUUAGAUACAAUACAAAAAGCAUAACCACGCCCAUAGUCCCAGCUACUCAGGAGGCUGAGGCAUAAGAAUCACUUGAGCUCAAGAGGUGGAGGUUGCGGUGAGCCGAGAUCCUGCCAUUGCACUCCAGCUGAGGCUACAGAGUGAGAGUAUUAAAAAAAAAAAGAAGCAUAACCUUUAAAAAUGGGUUAGACUAUGUCUACAUUUUAAAAAAAAUAAUAAUAAUCAUGUUCCAACUUCAGGCUCUGAAAAAAGUCAAAAGAUGAGCUGUCAACUAGAAGAGGCUCCUUACUGCUCAUACCACCAGGGAGAGUUUAAUAUGCACAAUGCAGUCAUCCUUCAGAAUUCAUGGGGGAUUACUUUUAAGAUGCCCUCUUCCCCGCAGAUGCCAAAAUCCACAGCUGCUGAAGUCUCUCAUAUAAAACGUGCAGUACUUGCAUAUAAUGCAAGUAUAUGUUCCUGUAUAUUUUUAUUUAUUUAUUGGGAGACAGAAUCUCACUCUGUUGCCCAGGCUGGAGUGCAGUGGCAUGAUCUUGCCUCACUGUAACCUCCACCUCCCGGGUUCAAGAGAUUCUCCUGACUCAACCUCCCAAGUAGCUGGGAUUACAGGUAUGCGCCACCACUCCCAGCUAAUUUUUGUAUUUUUAGUAGAGACGGGUUUUAACCAUGUUGUCCAGGCUGGUUUCGAACUCCUGACCUCACAUAAUCUGCCCACCUUGGCCUCCCAAAGUGCUGGGAUUACAGGGAUGAGCCACGGUGUCCAGCCUCUGGUAUACUUUAAAUUAUCUCUAGGUUACUCAUAACUCCUGAUACGGUGUAAAUGCUAUGCAAAUAGUUGUUAUACUAUAUUAUUUUUUAUUUGUAUUACUUUUUAUUGGAUUGCUAUAUUUUAUUUUUUGAAAUAUUUUCAAUACAAGACUGGUUGGAUCUAUAGAUGCAGAAAUUCUGGUUAUAGAGCACAAACUGUGUAUAGAUAGCUCCUACCAAAACAGACGGAUGGUGAAAAAAAGAAAAGGAAAGAAAAGAAAAAGAAAAUGGAGGAGAGAGACUAUGAGGCGACUAAAAGAAGAGGGAUAUGAUGAUUCCAUUUGCUGACAAGAAAAAUUCAAAGAGGAGGGAAUUAUGCAAUUGACCAGCUGAUGUGUGUUAGAAAUGCUCAGGGUCACACAUAUUCAUUGAAAGCCAA